rnacentral:rRNA from 1 species
GAUGAACGCUGGCGGCGUGCCUAAUACAUGCAAGUCGAGCGAACAGACGAGGAGCUUGCUCCUCUGACGUUAGCGGCGGACGGGUGAGUAACACGUGGAUAACCUACCUAUAAGACUGGGAUAACUUCGGGAAACCGGAGCUAAUACCGGAUAAUAUAUUGAACCGCAUGAUUCAAUAGUGAAAGACGGUUUUGCUGUCACUUAUAGAUGGAUCCGCGCCGCAUUAGCUAGUUGGUAAGGUAACGGCUUACCAAGGCAACGAUGCGUAGCCGACCUGAGAGGGUGAUCGGCCACCCUGGAACUGGGACACGGUCCAGACUCCUACGGGAGGCCGCAGUAGGGAAUCUUCCGCAAUGGGCGAAAGCUUGACGGAGCAACGCCGCGUGAGUGAUGAAGGUCUUCGGAUCGUAAAACUCUGUUAUUAGGGAAGAACAAAUGUGUAAGUAACUAUGCACGUCUUGACGGUACCUAAUCAGAAAGCCACGGCUAACUACGUG